GACGAGGGAUCCUAGCGUUGUUCGGAAUCAUUGGGCGUAAAGCGGGUGUAGGCGGUUCUAUAAGUCAGGUGUGAAAUCCCAGGGCUCAACUCUGGAAGUGCACUUGAUACUGUAGAUCUUGAAUGUGGUAGAGGUUACUGGAAUUGUUGGUGUAGUGGUAAAAUGCGUAGAUAUCAACAGGAAUACCGGAGGCGAAGGCGAGUAACUGGGCCAACAUUGACGCUGAGACCCGAAAGCGUGGGGAUCAAACAGG
rnacentral:rRNA from 1 species